rnacentral:rRNA from 1 species
AACGAACGCUGGCGGCGCGCCUAAUACAUGCAAGUCGAACGAGAAGGUGUAGCAAUACACUUGUACAGUGGCGAACGGGUGAGGAAUGCAUGGGUAACCUACCCUCGAGUGGGGAAUAACCAGCCGAAAGGUUGGCUAAUACCGCGUACGCUUCCGGGUCUCCGGACUCGGAAGGAAAGUCACACCGUGGUGUGACGCUCAAGGAUGGGCUCAUGUCCUAUCAGCUUGUUGGUGAGGUAACGGCUCACCAAGGCUACGACGGGUAGCUGGUCUGAGAGGACGAUCAGCCACACUGGCACUGCGACACGGGCCAGACUCCUACGGGAGGCAGCAGUAAGGAAUAUUGCGCAAUGGGCGAAAGCCUGACGCAGCGACGCCGCGUGGGGGAUGAAGGUCUUCGGAUUGUAAACCCCUUUCGGGAGGGAAGAUGGAAUGGGUAACCAUUCGGACGGUACCUCCAGAAGCAGCCACGGCUAACUUCGUGCCAGCCGCCGCCGUAA